UAGGUAUAGAUGUCUUGCUCAUGUUACCU
rnacentral:piRNA from 1 species